rnacentral:tRNA from 1 species
CAGGAGGUAGUUUAGUGAAAAUUCCAGCUUUGGGAGCUGGCGACAAAGGUUUCACCCCUUUCUUCCUGA